rnacentral:tRNA from 1 species
CUGUAAGCCGAAGAGCGGAGCGUAUACUAAUACGUGAGUAUCUGAGGACUUACAAACACGACGAAACCAAUUUUUCAAGUUCAUCGAGUAUAUACGGCCACGUAGCUCAGUCGGUAGAGCAAAGGACUGAAAAUCCUUGUGUCGUUGGUUCAAUUCCAACCGUGGUCACCA